UGGCCCGCAGCCGAAACAUUGAUGAAAGCUGUUGUCCGACCCGCCGGAGAGGAUCUGCUCCUCCAAUCCGUCAAAGGUGGCGCGAAAUGGAUCGGGAAGGGGUAACGUCAUGAGGAUCUCGGCACGCUUGAACUGUAUGNGCGGUUAUUGCGCAAAACGUAUCUGGAUUGCUAACACGAAGGUGGCGCAUGCCGCGACUCCUGUCA
rnacentral:misc_RNA from 1 species